rnacentral:ncRNA from 2 species
AAGUUCGUAGAUCGUCGCGGUGACCCGUUGGCCCGGAUGCCAGGGCGUAAAGGUGGAAGGAAGCUGGUGAAAGUCCAGCACUGUGCCGCAACUGUAACCGGCUGUUUCAGGCCGGAAGUCAGGACGCCUGCCGCGAUGUGUUGUUCGUU